CUCCGUUUCUUCUUAAAUUCGAUGUUUUUUUUUUUGUUACUAGGUAGUUUAAUUUGAUGAAUUUUUGAUUUAGGGGUUCUUAUUAUGAUUAGAAAUUGUUAGGGUUUCUAUAGUUUCAAAUUUAUAGCAGUUGUGAAGAUUCUUGUGUAUUUGUAAUGCUUAGUUAAUUUGCUAGAAUUCAGUAAAGAUCACCAAGUGUUCGAUGAAAUGAUCGAAUGAACAAGACAUCAAUCACAUGGUUUUAGAGUACUUGCUCAGCAUUGGUGCUUCGAUCAUUGAAGGCUCUAACAAUGAAGAUGAAGACAUUGAUUUCGUUGACGAUGACGAUAAUUCGGAAGGUAAGGUUGGUAGUUGAUGCAAUUUUAAUUGCGGAGGCAGGAGGGUGCUGAACGUAAGGAGCAAAUUGCAUCAUGGACAGCUGAUAAAAAGCAAGUUAGUCAACAUGCAUUGACUUUAAAACAGAUAGAUAACGGUGUCAGAAUUCCUCCAUCUGGAUGGAAAUGUGCCAAGUGUGACAAAACUAAGAAUCUAUGGUUGAAUUUAACUGAUGGAAUGAUUCUUUGUGGUCGGAAACUUUGGUAUGGCAGUGGUGGUAAUAACCAUGCUAUUGAACAUUAUGAAACUCAUUAUCCGCUUGCUGUUAAGCUUGGAACAAUAACUUCUGAUCCGGAAGGAGCAGCUCAGAUGUUUUUUCUUAUCCGGAGGAUGAUAGUGUGACUGAUCCUCUUCUGGCUGAGCAUUUGGGCAAAGUGCAUGACAAUGUGACGAACUAUACACAAAUUGUCAUUGUAUGUAAUGAGUUAAAUUCCAUUUUUACUAGCUUUGAGUCACAUUACCGAAGUAACAUCCUUUUCAAUUGUCACUGAAUACUUAAACUUACUUUUUAACAUGUAGAUAUGGUGAGAUUGUUGAUGUGAACCUGGUUAGAGAUAAAGGCACAAGAAAAUCGGAAGGCUUUGCUUUUGUUGCAUAUGAGGACCAGAGAAGUACAAUUCUUGCUGU